rnacentral:lncRNA from 1 species
UCCCAAAUGGCCGUGGCUCAGAUCCAGCAGGUCAAGCUGCUGCUGCUGCAGGGGCAACAUGCCAGUAGCAGAUUGCAGCCCACAAGCAGCACGAAGUGUGGUGGAUGGACUGCGUCCUCUGCAUCUCCAAGGAGCAUGGGGCUGUCUUCCUGGAAGGGCAACCUUGCCAGUGCCAUCCAUUACUUCCCAUGCAAGCCCUUAACUUUGCCUUCAAGGAUAAGUACAAGCAGUUCUUCCUGGGGGUGCAGACAAGCGCAUGCAGUUCUGGAGGUGCUUCGCUGGCCACCCGGCCUUGGGUGGCCUGGCUGGCACCACCUCACUCUGCUUCAUGUACCCCCUGGAUUUCCCAGAACCUCCUGGCAGCAGACAUUGGGAAAUUGGGCACAGUGCAUGAGUUCAAAGACCUGGGAGCCUGGCCGGUGAGGAUCACCAAAUCCAAUGGACCCAGGGCCUGUACCAGGGCUUCAGCAUCUCAUGCAAGACAUCAUCAUCUACCCAGCAGCCUCCUUCUGCUAGUAGGAUACAGCUGAGGGCAUGCUCCCCAGCCCCAAGAACAUGCACAUCCUGGCAAGCUGAGUUACUGCAAAGACUAUGAGGGCCAUGGCCAACAUGAUCUCCUAUCCUCCCACAUGGAGCUCAAAGGAGCCCACAUCAUGUAUACAGGGACCCUAGAUUGUUGGAGGAAGAUCUUUAAAGAUGAAAAGGGCAAAGGCUUCUUCAAGGGCGAGGUCCAAUGUCCUUGGAGGUGUCAGGGGCUUUGGUGCUGGUCCUGUAA